GGCUGCACGGUGGAGCAGUUGGUAGCACUGCUGCCUUGCAGAAAGAAGGUUCUGGGUUCAAUUCCCAGCCUGGGGUCU